UCGUGCGAGCCGGAGAGUCCAUAGCGAGCGUUCCCACGUAUCGUACUCACCCUAGUCUAGGUCAUCUCUUUCUCACGGAGCUUUUGGCGCUCGCCAAGCGGCGCCGCGGGGCGAGGGUAUCGUGAUUCGCAGCAAGAAUGCGCCUCUAGCGAGCAGCCGGCGAUCGAUCGAUCGAUUUCGGGUCCGGCCGGGCGCGGGAGAAGCGAUUAUGGUGAUGCGCAAGGUCGGCAAGUAUGAGAUCGGUCGGACGAUCGGCGAAGGUACGUUUGCCAAGGUGAAAUUCGCGCAGAACACCGAGACGGGCGAGAGCGUGGCCAUGAAAGUCCUCAACAAGGAGACGAUCCUCAAGCACAAGAUGGUCGAUCAGAUUAAAAGAGAGAUUUCCAUCAUGAAACUCGUACGACACCCAAAUGUUGUGCGGCUUCACGAGGUGCUUGCCAGUCGAACGAAAAUCUACAUCAUCCUAGAGUUUGUAACCGGUGGAGAGUUGUUUGACAAAAUUGUCGAUCAAGGGCGGCUCACUGAGAUCGAAUCACGCAAGUAUUUUCAGCAGCUGAUUGAUGCCGUAGACUACUGUCACAGCAAAGGUGUUUAUCAUCGUGAUUUGAAGCCUGAGAAUCUCUUGCUUGAUUCACAAGGGAAUUUGAAAAUAUCAGAUUUUGGUUUGAGUGCUUUGCCACAACAGGAAGAUGGGCUUCUUCAUACAACUUGUGGAACUCCAAACUAUGUUGCUCCAGAGGUCCUUGAUAACAAUGGCUAUGAUGGAGCAGCAGCUGAUAUAUGGUCGUGCGGUGUUAUUCUGUACGUCCUGAUGGCUGGUUUUUUACCUUUUGACGAAGUGGAUCUUGUCACGCUCUAUCGGAAGAUUCAUGAAGCAGAGUUCCUUUGUCCAUCGUGGUUUUCACCUGGUGCGAGGUCCUUGAUCUCAAGAAUCCUCGAUCCUAAUCCUCAGACACGGAUUCAAAUGUUUGGCAUCCGAAAGGACGAUUGGUUCAAGAGGAACUACGUACCUGUGAGGCUCGCAGAUGAUGAAGACGGGACUUUGGACGACAUUGAAGCAGUUUUUGAUGACUCUGAAGACCAAUUUGUGAAGGAACAGAGAGACAUUAACGAAGGUCCUUCGAUGAUGAAUGCCUUCGAGCUUAUUACGCUUUCACAAGGCCUCAACCUGUCUGCUCUUUUCGACAGAAGACAAGACCUUGUCAAGCGUCAAACAAGAUUCAUCUCUAAAUGCCCGGCCAAAGAGUUGCUAGCGAGAAUGGAGGAUACGGCGAAAUCCAUGGGCUACAAAGUGUAUAAGCGUGGGUACAAGAUGAGAUUUGAGGGGCUUACUGCGGGUAGAACGGGGCAACUUGCAGUGGCGGUCGAGGUUUUUGAAGUCGCCCCAUCACUGUAUAUGGUCGAAGUUCGAAAAGCUGUGGGUGAUACUUUGGAGUAUCAUAAGUUUUACAAAUCGUUUUGUACAAAUUUACGCGAUACAGUCUGGAAAUCCGCUGGUGAUGCCAACGAGCAAUCUUCGCAGUUGCUGAGAGGAGCCAGUUCCGGAGUUUUAUAACAGAUAUAAAGAGUUUGUAGUGAAGCUGGUCUGUAUAACUUCUUUUUCUUUCUGUUGUUAUAUAUACGGCUGAGAUUCUAGCAGAUUGCGCGGGUGAGAUUGGCGCUGAUGUGGCGCUUAUCCAGACGAGAGAAAGGUGUUGCUGGCCAGUGUGCGCUUGCCACGCGUCGGGGCCAAUCUCUCUGGAAGAAGUUCUACUCUCCAAAGUUUUUUGAGUUUGUCGCAGAACUAUAGUGCCAUGGCCGCUGCUACUACCAGUGCUGCUGCCACAUUGUCCACUCCAGUCGCUGGCCUCGGUGGAUCUUCACUCAAAGCAGUGAAGAGAUCUUCAUCCUCGAGAGUUCAUCUUACUUCAGCAUUCGUCCACAAUGCCAAUGCCUCCCCGAAUGCUCUUCGACUGAAGCCCUGCAUGUCUCGUGUUACAUGGUAAUUUGUGAUUUCUCGUAGAACUCUUAUCCUCUUCCUUGGGACAGCUUUCGUGGAGACUGGUUGCGUACCGAUCUCUCAGUGAUUGGAUUUGGAUUGAUCGGGUGGCUAGCACCAUCGAGCAUCCCAGCCAUCAACGGCGAUAGCCUGACUGGCCUGUUUUUCGGUAGCAUUGGUCCCGAGCUUGCUCACUGGCCUACAGGCCCAGCUCUAACCUCGCCAUUCUGGUUGUGGAUGAUCUUGUGGCAUCUGGGACUAUUCAUCACGCUCACUUUCGGCCAGAUUGGAUUCAAGGGAAGAGCCGAUGGCUACUGGUAAGAACUUUUGUGUGUUUCAUAGCAGCAUACCAGGCAGCCUGUACGAAAAAACCUCAAAGAACGCAAAGCUGGUGAAUGAUUCAA